rnacentral:rRNA from 1 species
AUUGAACGCUGGCGGAAGGCCUAACACAUGCAAGUCGAACGAGUGGCGGACGGGUGAGUAAUGUCUGGGAAACUGCCUGAUGGAGGGGGAUCACUUCUGGAAACGGUAGCUAAUACCGCAUAACAUCGGAUGUGACCAGAUGGGAUGAGCUAGUAGGUGGGGUAACGGCUCAACUAGGCGACGAUCCCUAGCUGGUCUGAGAGGAUGACCAGCCACACUGGAACUGAGACACGGUCCAGCCUCCUACGGGAGGCCGCAGUGGGGACUAUUGCACAAUGGGCGCAAGCCUGAUGCAGCCAUGCCGCGUGUAUGAAGAAGGCCUUCGGGUUGUAAAGUACUUUCAGCGGGGAGGCGUUACCCGCAGAAGAAGCACCGGCUAACUCCGUGCCAGCAGCCGCGGUAAUUC